UCGCCCAUCCUCCGUCAGCUCGAUGGCCUCACCUGUCUGCUGCCGCUUCUCCAGCCUCCUGCACCACAAGGCGAUUAUAUAACACCAUGAGCAUUUUUUUUUUUAGGUUACAUAUGCUUUUUUUAUGGAUACAGGCGUUAAAUCAAGAACAGGACUAAUACUGAAAUUUAUUAUUAUUAUUACAAAACCAUCAGAAUUUCAUUUGGUAUUUAAAAAACUAUUUUUCUUGCUGAUUUAUUGAGGAAAAAGGGAAAAUUAAAACCUUUUUCUUUCUCAAGGAUAUGUUCUCUAUCCACCCUUAAGGCUUCAAAAGGGGACAAACCUAUGAUUUGUAUUAUAACUAUCGUUUUUCUCUGAAAAAAUAUGCAUUUUUCCUUAAAUUGAUUCCAUAAAAUCGAAACAUUAUUUUCGUUUUUUGCUGUAAGGGGAAAAAAUCCCGACCUUCAAACCGCAAUGCAGCAUCAUCAUCAUCAAUAUCCUUCGUUUGAAGAUCAUUUCAACCGUUUUCAUUUUCAUUUUCUAUCUUGUAUUUUAUUUUAUUUUUUAAUUAGCCUUUGCUUUUUACUCACGAUGAAUUUCUCCACAGAAAACCUGAGGUCUAAUUUCCUACGACCCGGUUGGAUGUGAAGGCCUCAUUUGGGCCCUUUUCUCGGUAACGAGUCACGUUUCCGCGCUGCAGCUUUAAAUGCAGCAAUUUCGACAUGAAACACGAAGGAAUGAUACCUGGACAAAAGGUUACAUUAAAACUGCGAAAUAAAACAGAUUAAUUCAGCAAAACUGCUUCCUUUUUUUUUUUUUUUUGGCUCUGUUUUUAAAUACUCCAUCAUUUCGCUCCGUUUUUAAAAGACAAAAAAAAAAGUAGAGCUUUGUAAAUAUGCAAGAACGUGAAACGCUUUCUCUUAAGAUUGGAUGAAGUUCAUCGAUCCGAAAUUAUUCGUGGGUAUUACAGAUAUCUCCAGGACUUUGUGUCACGACUCGUUCUCUUUCAUUAAUUAUUAAAAACACCCCCAGCUGCUGGUGGAGGGGAGACCGUCCUCCUGGGAAAUAAUCUGAUCCUUAAAUAUUCGGGCCACACGAUUCUGCUGUCACUAUAUUCUAAGAGUGAGAAGAUUUAAGAACGAGAGGGAGCAUCAGUUUUUGGAAGUUU